CAGGUGUGUGUUUCACUGCAAUCAAUUCAACUCAACUCAAGCCAGAUCUUCUAAACACCAUGCUCUGCUCCAGACUCUGCACCACCCUGUUGCUGGCAGCAAUGUGUUUGCUUAUGAGAGCAGGACUUUCUAGAGCCACCGUUGUGGACCCCUCGUCCAAGGUGAAAGUGAUCACAUGUGAUGACGACGUCCAACGCCUGAGCUGUGCACCAAAAGGAGUGAUCAGUGUGCAGAAUGCUGUGUAGGACGUGCAGACAAGGCGACCUGCAGUAAGGGCAAAUCUCCCCAGCAGCU